UGGGCUCUUGGCGCAGCUGGUUAGCGCGCUUCCUUGACAUGGAAGAGGUCGCUGGUUCGAAUCCAGCAGAGCCCACCC
rnacentral:tRNA from 1 species